rnacentral:rRNA from 1 species
AACGAACGCUGGCGGCAGGCCUAACACAUGCAAGUCGAGCGAAGCCUUCGGGCUUAGCGGCGGACGGGUGAGUAACGCGUGGGAACGUGCCCUGUGGUACGGAAUAGCCCCGGGAAACUGGGAGUAAUACCGUAUGUGGUCGAGAGACGAAAGAUUUAUCGCCAGAGGAUCGGCCCGCGUUGGAUUAGGUAGUUGGUGGGGUAAUGGCCUACCAAGCCGACGAUCCAUAGCUGGUUUGAGAGGAUGAUCAGCCACACUGGGACUGAGACACGGCCCAGACUCCUACGGGAGGCAGCAGUGGGGAAUCUUAGACAAUGGGGGAAACCCUGAUCUAGCCAUGCCGCGUGAUCGAUGAAGGCCUUAGGGCUGUAAAGAUCUUUCAGUGGGGAAGAUAAUGACUGUACCCACAGAAGAAGCCCCGGCUAACUCCGUGCCAGCCGCCGCCGUAACAC